AGCUCCAAUAGCGUAUAUUAAAGUUGCUGCAGUUAAAAAGCUCGUAGUUGGAUUUGUGGCGCGGUCGUCCGGCGGGGCUUCCGGUUUCAUAGUAUCCCGGGGCCGUUUGUCUGGGUUCUUGGCCGCCCCAUUCUUCGGUUGCGUGUCGCUGGCAUUAGGUUGUCGGCUUCUUCGCGCCGAUCGUUUACUGUGAAAAAAUUAGAGUGCUCAAAGCAGGCUUUACACGCUUGGAUAUUCGUGCAUGGAAUAAUGGAAUAGGACGUCGUUUCUAUUUUGUUGGUUUUCGGAAAUCGACGUAAUGAUUAACAGGGACAGUCGGGGGCAUUAGUAUUCAGACGACAGAGGUGAAAUUCUUGGACCGUCUGAAGACUAACUACUGCGAAAGCAUUUGCCAAGAAUG
rnacentral:rRNA from 1 species